AACGCGAAGAACCUUACCAGGUCUUGACAUCCCGCUGACCGCUCUAGAGAUAGAGUUUUCCCUUCGGGGACAGCGGUGACAGGUGGUGCAUGGUUGUCGUCAGCUCGUGUCGUGAGAUGUUGGGUUAAGUCCCGCAACGAGCGCAACCCUUGAUCUUAGUUGCCAGCAUUCAGUUGGGCACUCUAAGGUGACUGCCGGUGAUAAACCGGAGGAAGGUGGGGAUGACGUCAAAUCAUCAUGCCCCUUAUGACCUGGGCUACACACGUGCUACAAUGGACGGUACAGAGGGUCGCAACCCCGCGAGGGUGAGCUAAUCCCAUAAAACCGUUCUCAGUUCGGAUUGUAGGCUGCAACUCGCCUACAUGAAGCCGGAAUCGCUAGUAAUCGUGGAUCAGCAUGCCACGGUGAAUACGUUCCCGGGCCUUGUACACACCGUAGUAC
rnacentral:rRNA from 1 species